UGGCAGCAUAACACUCUGGCUGGGCUCCACAACUCACAGGACUGGCAAGAUUACGACCUAGCACGACGGAACAAGUGAAUGACCUACAAAACUGGCAUGACAUGCCAGGUCAGUACAUUGAAUGUACUUGCAAGACAACCAAAUACAUAGCGUCCAAACAAGCAGAAGACAAAGCAGGAACCAAGCAUAUGCAACAACCUAGCUCAUAUCAGAAACUAAGCAUGGCAUAAUAUCAACCGAAGAUAUAAAUCAAACUAACAUCAUGGCAUCCACUAGCAUGGCAACAACAUGGUAUAUCAAAUUUACUUAUAACAUGGCAAUAGCAAAACAUGGCAUAUCAUCUCAAUCAUAUCAAUCAAAGCAUGGCCUGGCAUAAAUAAACUACCAAUCAUAUCAAAUGCAGACAUAGCAUGUUAACUGUAUGCAACCAUCUCAUGUUCUACCAUGGUUCUUUACAUGCAAACAUAUUACUCAUGCAAUGCAACCAAACUUGUGCACCAAGUCCCUCAGACUCUCUUACCAACGGUGAUCACCUCACUUCCUGAUCACCAACAGAGACAAACCCGUGAUCCUUACGGCGCUCAUAACCCGACCAACAACUGUCCCAUGAUCCUUACGGCAAUCACAACCAAACUGUAACAAUGAUCCUUACGCCGAUCACAACCCGACAAGUAAAUGGCCCGUGAUCCUUACGGUGAUCACAACCCGACCACAACUGGCCUAGCUUAAUUAUUUCAGGUUUAUCCUCCAUUUCGAUCAAGACCUGAUAGUGUACCCUACUAUGAACUUGUGCCCAUGACCGAGGACGCGGCUAUCGAUAGUUUAAAUACACUAUGCAGAGGUAGCACACUAUACCCACACCACAGAACCCAUGUCCUCACACUCACAUUCGUGUGGACCAACGGUGUUCCGACGAAACCGAUCUACUGUCAUGACACUCUCCCGGCCACUCCGACUCACUCCCCAUUGGGCUAGUCCUUUGUGGCCCCGUGUCUACCUCCAGACACCUCAACAACCAUUGCCGUGGCCCGUCCCUCUCUCAGACACGUGCACAGAACAACAACAACAGGCUCACAAGGUUAUGCUCCGCCUACCUGAUCAGGGUAGCGCGCGCCCAUAACCUUCCCUAGUUGGAGGCACCGACUAGAGGCACGACAAUAGACCGCAUUAAGGCCGUCCCAUACCGUCAAAUGUGGUUGCACUGGGAAAAGUUCGAUUUGGCGGCACUAUGACUCGAUCUCAUCGAUGAGAGAGGGGUUUUGUUAUUAAGUCAUGUUAUUAUCUUCUCCACCAUCAAUCAUCAUACCAGCAUUUUAACAUGAAUGCAACCAUGAGGAUACAUCAUACAAAUGUUUUAACAAAACAUCGAGCUUGUCAAGUGAACACUUACAGCAUAAAGAGCAUGACAAUAGCAAGUACUAACAUAUCCACUUUGCAUCACCAUCAUCAUAGCAUUUUAUAACGAUGACUUGAAAAUAAAUUAGAGUAGUGACAUGGCAUCAUCAAUAGCAACAUUCUAAUUAUCAUGGCAAAAUAUAUCAUGAACACACCAGCAUGAUGAGCAUAAUGAAAUAACUGCAGAUGAAAACGAGAAGAAAUAACUGCAACUACACACACACACAAGGUGCAAGCAAAGUCAACAUGAAAGUUGAGGGCUCAUGAUAAGAGGUUGGCAUGCCUGGGGGUCGACAAAUACUCCGGGAAGAAGUGGGAAACGACCUCGGAAAAAUUGCCGGAAAUAGUUCUCUCUCGGAGUGGGCUAUUUACGGACAAGGGCAAAGAGGUCAUUUUCACAGUGUCAAACCAUAGUGAAAAUGAUGGAAACGGAACGGGCUCGACGAGACGAAGACAUGGGCGUUGGAUUUACCUCAAACGGAGUUACGGUUGAAAAGAUACGGGCAUUUAAAACUGAGGGACUAAUCUGUAAAAAUUCUUCUACAAACUGGUCCCUAGCAGUUUUAAACCGAACAUGUCUUUUCUGAAAAUGCGUCUUCGAUCAGGGAAAACGGCUUCGGCGGGGGCGCUUCCACUUAAGUGACGUGGCGUGGACUGGGUUAAAGGGCAGAGGUGGGGCCGAGCUGCAGUGCCGCUGGCAGGUGGGGUCGCACGGGGCCCGCCUGGCCAGCCUGGCCAGGUCAACGCCUCAGUCGGCCGCUUCCUUUCUCCUCCCCGACGUACGCCUGCGGGACAGAGGGCGGCCACGCUCCGGCGAUGAGCACCGGCGACUCGGGCCACCUCCGGUGACGCUCUGGCCACCGGCAUGAUCCUUGGGGAGCGGCUCAUCCGUUCCACCACUCCACGGACUCCAGAGACGAGGGGAGCGACGGCGGCUUCGAGCACGGCGAACGGAGGGGGAAGGGCUUCGGCCGUCGGCGUGGGGAGGGGUCCCGGCGAGGGAAUGAGGGGGCUGAGGCUACGGGGAGGCUCACCGGACCUAGGGGAGUGCACUGGUGGUGGAGGAACAGCGAGGGGAGCGAGGUAGCGCCGGAAUCGAGUAGCGCCCGAGGCGGCGGCCAUGGCGAUGAGGAGAGGAUGGGGAGCUCCUGGAACUUAGUUGACUGGCCAGGGAGAUCUCUGGGAGGAAGGGGGAGCUGCUGGAGUUCUCGGACGAGGCUCAGAUGGGCUAUUUAUAGCCGGGGCAGGGGCACCUGAGCCGGGCACCGCUGAGCGCGUCCGGCCACGGCUUGUCCGUGCUCAGCAGUCACGGGGAGGAGGGCGAAGAUGACGAGGGGGGUCCCGACAAUCGCCAAAGGUUCACGGAGACGAGGGGCACUCGUGGACGAGAGGAGGAAGAGGACACCAGGGAGGAAAGCAACGAUGGCCAUGGGUGCACUGCUUGACCCUUGGCACGGCUCGUCGGAGAAGAAAACGGAGGGGGCGCGAGGUCCAGGCGAACGGCAACGACGAUGCGGAGCUGAAAGACAUUAAUGGCGAGGUCAGGGACGGUCGGAGCAGCGCUGACGUCGAGAAGAGUGGCUAGACCACCGUUUUGGCACGCUGCAUGCAUGGUCACCGCUGGCAUAGCGCGCUCUGGAGGUUUUACUUAGGUUAAACCAUGUCUAGGGCGUAGUCCUUCGAAGAUGGAGUGUUACUGAGGUAAAUGCUUGGGCAGAGACAAAGUGAGCUGAGUAAAACAAGCUCCACAAGUUUGUUGUUGCAAACUUGGAAACAUCCUAGCGGUAAAACGAGAGAUGGUAAACGGUAGAAUUGAUGUCUAGGAUGCUUAGGGUAGCAAGGACUACGGUCCUAGUAGUUUUGAGGCCAUUAGGACAACUAUUUACCAUAGUUGUUGUACAACCACCAAGUCUGACCCAGAAACUGAAUCAUGAUGAAGCACUCACUAGGAGUGAUGGAUUGAUCUAUAACUUGGCAAAUCCUCAUGAUUAGGUCAUAAGUAGAUGAUGUAUAAAUAUCAAACAAAAUGGACUUACCAAAUUGGUACUUUCUUCACAAGCAUUACUCUGGACCAGAAACUUCAGAAACUCCUAGGAAAAUAUUGGCUAAAUAAAAUUAUCCAAACUCUUGAGUAGGUAGUUUAUAUGGAUAGGAGAAGGCUUGGAAUUAUUUUUAGCUAUAAUGGAGCAAGAUAAACUGUACUUGCUUCACAAACUGAAAAUUUGGACAUAAAACAAGAAUUGCUCCUAUGCUCACAUAACUAAAUUAAAUGAGCUGAAUUUGGGUGAAGGCAAUUGAUUUUGGAUACUUGAUAGGGUGGGAAAGUUUCAUCCCAUUUGGAAACUCUAUGAAGGUACUUCCUUCACAAAGUGACAAUCUGGUCAGAAACUUGGAGAAAUUUCACAGGGAGCUAGGAUGAUUGGAUUGAGCUCAUAUUUGGUAUCCAUGGUUUAUUUAUCAAUAUUUAUCACCCUGACAAAUUUCAGCUCAAAUGUAAUUAGGAAUAGAGCACUUCCUUUGCAAAAUUUUAGAGAAGGCAGAAACUUGCAUUGGAUCAUGUGCUCAAUUUUUGAUCUGUGGAAAAUGAGAUGAUGAUGAAACUAGUGAUUAUAUAGCAAGGUCAAGAUCCACAAUUUAUUUGAGAAUUUUCCCAGCUAUAAAAAUAGUAGUUCCUUUAGAAAAUGGCAGAAUUGGAAUAUUGGUAUUAAAUAGGAAAAGACAAAUUUUCCUUAUUUAAUUAUGGCCAAUAUGAUUGCCAGAGCUUGGGUUGGGAAUAAUUAUCAACUCUACCAAUUCACAUGAAUUUUGGAGAUGUCUAGCUACGCCUUUGGAUUUUAUUCCUCAAAAAGGCAAGAAAAGGAAUAAAUCAUAAUUCAAAAAUAUUGCAUGGGACUUAGCAAUAUUUUUGCAUAUCCAAGGUUUAGAAGGAUAGAAGGGUAUCUAGGAACAGAUGGGAUGAUCAACAGAUCAAAGAAAAUGAUUGCUCCUUUGUAAUCACAAAGGGCACAAUCAAAUUCCAAAAAUUUGGAAUUAGGGUUUGACAUGGUUCAAGAUGAUGCAACUAAGGUCUUGCCCACCGAAAAAGACAUGAGCAAGUUUUGAAAGGUUGGAAAUGACAAGAAUUCCCAGAGUCAUCCAACAAAACUCAGGAGAAAGAUUUUGAAAAUGAGUGCUAGGAAAGAAUAACAGCACAAAAAUUGAUAACCCAAUUUUGGGGCUGUGACAAACCUUCCCCCCUUAAAAGAAUCUCGUCCUCGAGAUUCCUAGGGUUACAUCACAAACAAAUGAUAACCACUCCGGGGAAAUAUCCUCUGGGUUAAAAUUUAACCCUUUGAUCAAACUCGAACGAGUUGGGGGCACCGAUAAUUGGUACACCGAGGGAGAGAUAUGGGAGAACACGGUUAAAUCCACGGCUAGGGGCACCCAAGAGAAAACUCUCGAAAAAUGCUAGAUGCACCUAGUGAACAAUGGACUUACCUGCUGACACGUGGGUCCAGGGCCCACUAGCAGCCUCCUUCUUCUACCUCCGGCUAACUGGUUCUCCCGUGCUGCUGCUUCGCUUGCGGCUUGGCACAGCACGCAUCUAGCUCCUAGGGCGAUGAGGACCCUAGUGUCGUAGUGCGCGGCGUGCACGGCGCCGGUGCAGCGAGCACUCACGUCGCGGGCCAGCACCUUGUCGGCACUGCUCGCAGAUUCGCCUCCUAGACGCUGGUGAUCGGGCGACGAGCGAGUUUCCUGGACUCCGCUCACCGUACACCGGGGUUGGGCUAUAAAAACGGCAGCAUGGCUCACUUCCAACACACACACACACAAUGCCACUCUACUACCUCUUCGGUUUGAGCGAGAUCGAGCCAAGCUCCUUUGGCGAGGAGGUGUUCUUGGUGGCGCUAUGGUUGUUCCUCGCGGCACUGCUGGCACGCUGGUCAGCUCGUCGAUCCUCCUGGUGAUUCUCAUCAGGAACGAGCAGGCUCGAGACAACGCGCGGCUGGUGGCUCGAGGUGUGGAAGAAGAUGGGGCACGGGAUGGUCCUCCGCCACGCUUCGUCCUCCGUUGCUUCGCGCCGGUGGAGUAAUCGCGUGCUGCGGUGGAGCGGUGGUGAAAGGGAUCCAGAUGCAGGUGAGGUGGCUAUGCCAGCUCAGGAAUCAGUUUAGGGCACGGGGAAAUUUUUGCGGAUUGCUCCACGAAAUGUAAGUGUUGAGGUAGAAUCGGAGUUGAAAUCUGUAUCGGGGAGUUGUAACGGAUCACGAGAAAUAAAGCUGGCAGUGUUUCUCCGGAAACACAAUUGGGUUCAUGAAAAAGAAUCGGGGACGAGAAAUGGCCAGAUAAAAAUGGCCUCUUCGAGGUUCUGGGCUUGGAAAAUCUGGCACACGGGGUAUGCACAGAUAAAGAGGGAUAUGUGACUUUGCAUUCCCCCGAGUACUGCUCAAAUGUACUCGUGGGUGAACCGGGUAUGCGUGUAGUGUGCUGUAAAAUCCAAACAAAUAGACAGAAGCAAUAAACAUGCAACAGAAAAACACCAUACAAAUCACACUAAGGUGUUUUAAUGCUAGUGGGUAUAUGUACUCCUGGUGUACAUAUACCUACACCAGUGCGUAUUUUAUUAACAACUGGGAACGAGUCAAUGUUGUUUUUAGUAUAUGUGUCGUACUGAUUAAAAUCUUGUUAGCACACAUUGCCAACCCUGUCAAACAUUUCUGUUUGAUAGAGAGACAAGCAAGAACAAACACACAAACAAGAGCAAACAAGCAAAUAACACAGCAGACGGGUUACAACAGUACCAACAUACAUCAAAGCACAAACGCACUACACGCUAAUCGAAACUACUCACUCCGGGAUACAUGGUUCUAUCCUCAUAUCGGGGAUGAACCGACAGACCGAUCGACUAGCAGGAACCACUGACUACGUGACUGAAGUUAGGCAGAAGGCUGGCCUUGCGGGGGCUCUCCUGGAGGACGAAGACUGAUCCAAUCUCCAUCUUCAUCGUUUGACACUUCUAUGGGUUGGGGCGGUGGGGAUGGAGUUGCUCCAGGAAAAUGCUGCUGAUGGACCCGGAGAAGAGACUUGUCGAGGGUGAUGAUGCUUGGCUUGGACCACAUCACAGGUUGAGAGGAUAGCACUGGUUCGGAUGGCAUUGGGCCAACAACUUGAGAUGCGAAAUUACGAGCCUCACGGUAAGCUUCCUUGACGACUCGUACCACAUUAUUGUCCAUGGCUCUAAACUCAGCAAGCAGCAUUAAAAUCAACAUCCCCUGGGCAGUGAUGUACUGCACCGGGCGAGCGAUUGCAGGAUCAUCUCCUUGGCUAACGGAAGAAGGCUGCAUUACUACGUUGGACACAGUGGGGAAAAAGCAGAACUCCCGCCUUGUUGCUACAUGCGGGAAGUUAGUUUGGAGAUGUAGGAUAGCCUCCACUGAAGCGGCUUGAAUGGCUAAACAAGAGGUAGGCAUGGCUCUACCCUGUAAAACCAAAGGUUGAACAUCUGCUGCAGGGCCUAGGCUAAUGUGCACUCUUGCAAUAAAGCGUUGAAGGUGAGGGACGGGUGUCGAUUGGAACACCAGGUAAUCAGGGCUAGUCCUGCCGCCAAAUGCUUUGGUGAGCAUCUCGGCAAGAAGGGGUGGAAAGCCAGGGUGGUUGACGGCAUAGGUGCGGGUGUAAUACGUGGGAGUUUUGGAGCUGCUAGCCAUGGCUGGGGUGCUACUAGCUAAGCUUCUCUGCAGGGACAUGGCGGACUGAGGAGCGAGCGAUAUGGCUAGCGGAAAGGGCAUUUAUAGGGAGCUAUGCGGGACAGGCCCGCAUGGUGUGGCCCCUUUCCCUUAAUGGCGAAGGGAAAGCGGUGCGGCCGACCAGAAAGGAUAGGAUUGUUGCACGUUUCAUGGAUAACUAGGCGGGGACAGCGGGGUGAGGACGUGUUGGUCCCGACUGCACCACCUGUUGAUUAACAGUGGCCAUGCCGGAUGCCAGGGAUGGGUUAAAUCCCUUAGGGUCAUUACGGGUUGAUGGCGGCAGUGAUCUAAUGCUAGGAUAAUCUAUGCCAGCCUGGCUGCUCUGAUACCAAGCUUGUGGCACCCUGAUCCGCAUGGAGCAGGGGGCCUUCGCAUGUCAGCCUAGGAUAACACCUGACACACGACAUGUCCAUGAUACAGCAUUCCAGGUACAAGAAUAUUCAUCAAAUACAUGUGUAUAUAAUUACAUCAGUGAUGAAUAUAAUCUUCUGGCAUAGCCCUAAGGCUAUUUACAUGGCAGCGGAAGUCUAUUUUAAUGGUGGCGAAAGUCUUGAUUUGGCAGUAUAACACUCUGGCUGGGCUCCACAACUCACAGGACUGGCAAGAUUACGACCUAGCACGACGGAACAAGUGAACGACCUACAAAACUGGCAUGACACGCCAGGUCAGUACAUUGAAUGUACUUGCAAGACAACCAAAUACAUAGCGUCCAAACAAGCAGAAGGCAAAGCAGGAACCAAGCAUAUGCAACAACCUAACUCAUAUCAGAAACUAAGCAU
rnacentral:lncRNA from 1 species